rnacentral:rRNA from 1 species
UACGAAGGGGGCUAGCGUUGUUCGGAAUUACUGGGCGUAAAGGGCGCGUAGGCGGCCUUCUAAGUCAGACGUGAAAUCCCCCGGCUUAACCUGGGAACUGCGUCUGAUACUGGAGGGCUUGAGUAUGGGAGAGGGACGUAGAAUUCCAGGUGUAGCGGUGAAAUGCGUAGAUAUCUGGAGGAAUACCGGUGGCGAAGGCGGCAUCCUGGACCAUUACUGACGCUGAGGCGCGAAAGCUAGGGGAGCAAACGGG